GGAGUGGACGCAUCACUGGUGUUCGGGUUGUCAUGCCAAUGGCACUGCCCGGUAGCUAAAUGCGGAAGAGAUAAGUGCUGAAAGCAUCUAAGCACGAAACUUGCCCCGAGAUGAGUUCUCCCUGAGACUAUAAGUCUCCUGAAGGAACGUUGAAGACGACGACGUUGAUAGGCCGGGUGUGUAAGCGCAGCGAUGCGUUGAGCUAACCGGUACUAAUGAACCGUGAGGCUUAACCUU
rnacentral:rRNA from 1 species